UACGUAGGGGGCAAGCGUUGUCCGGAAUUACUGGGCGUAAAGCGCGUGUAGGCGGGACGGCAAGUCGGUCGUGAAAGGCUUCGGCUCAACCGGAGAUGGCCGAUCGAAACUGCCGUUCUUGAGGGUCGAAGAGGAGAGUGGAAUUCCUGGUGUAGCGGUGAAAUGCGUAGAGAUCAGGAGGAACACCCAUGGCGAAGGCAGCUCUCUGGUCGACCUCUGACGCUGAGACGCGAAAGCGUGGGGAGCGAACAGG
rnacentral:rRNA from 1 species